UGGUGGUUCAGUGGUAGAAUUCUCGC
rnacentral:piRNA from 7 species